UACGUAGGGUCCGAGCGUUGUCCGGAAUUAUUGGGCGUAAAGAGCUCGUAGGCGGUUUGUCGCGUCUGCUGUGAAAUCCCGAGGCUCAACCUCGGGUCUGCAGUGGGUACGGGCAGACUGGAGUGCGGUAGGGGAGACUGGAAUUCCUGGUGUAGCGGUGAAAUGCGCAGAUAUCAGGAGGAACACCGGUGGCGAAGGCGGAUCUCUGGGCCAGUACUGACACUGAGGAGCGAAAGCGUGGGUAGCAAACAGG
rnacentral:rRNA from 1 species